rnacentral:rRNA from 1 species
GUGGGAAGAGGAAGGACGGUACCACAAGAAUAAGUCUCGGCAAACUACGUGCCAGCAACCGCGGUAANACGUAGGAGACGAGCGUUAUCCGGAAUUACUGGGCGUAAAGCGUGCGUAGCCGGUUUGUCAAGUGGUGCGUGAAAGCUCUCGGCUCAACUGGGGAGAGGCCGUACCAAACUGAUGAACUAGAGACAGAUAGAGCCAGAUGGAAUUCCGGGUGGAGUGGUGAAAUGCGUAGAGAUCCGGAGGAACACCAGUGGCGAAGGCGAUCUGCUGGGUCUGAUCUGACGCUGAGGUACGAAAGCAUGGGUAGCGAACGGGAUUAGAAACCCCGGUAGUCCAUGCCGUAAACGAUGCAGACUAGAUGCUGGGUGUCGUACAGGCAGUCAGUGUCGAAGCAAACGCGAUAAGUCUGCCGCCUGGGGAGUACGGCCGCAAGGCUAAAACUCAAAGGAAUUGACGGGGGCCCGCACAAGCAGCGGAGCGUGUGGUUUAAUUCGAGGCUACGCGAAGAACCUUACCUAGGCUUGACAUACAAGUGGUAGUGAACCGAAAGGGGAACGACCUUCGGGAGCUUGUACAGGUGCUGCAUGGCUGUCGUCAGCUCGUGCCGUGAGGUGUUCGGUUAAGUCCGCGAACGGGCGCAACCCCUAUUGCCAGUUACAAGUGUCUGGCGAGACUGCCUGGGGGAACCAGGAGGAAGGUGGGGAUGACGUCAAGUCAGCAUGGCCUUUAUGUCUAGGGCUACACACACGCUACAAUGGAUGGUACAACAGGCAGCGAAGUCGAGAGGCGGAGCGAAUCCCGUAAAGCCAUUCACAGUUCGGAUUGCAGGCUGCAACUCGCCUGCAUGAAGUUGGAGUUGCUAGUAAGCGUGGGUCAGCACACCGCGUUGAAUACGUUCCCGGGCCUUGUACACACCGCCCGUCACGUCAUGGAAGCUGGUCACGCCUAAAGUCGGUGGGCUAACUGAGAAGAGGCAACCGCCAAAGGCAGGGCUGGGACUGGGACGAAGUCGUAA